rnacentral:lncRNA from 1 species
AUGGAGCGCAGGUGGGCCAUGGUACCCGCUCAUCCCUGCUCCGUGGGGGGUGUGAGAAUGACGGGGUGUGUGCUCUGCGAUCUUCGUGUUCACAGACCUCAGAAGCCCCUAGUGCCCCUUGCAGAUGGUUGUCCCCAGCCCAGCGGAAAGCACCCGUGCCUUCUUCCAAAGCUCCACGUUUUAAAGAACUGCUGCACAGACUCUUUCGUUUUGGGACUCUGCUUACUGGGGUCAUUCGGCUUGUUAAAAAAACCAGAGAGGAUGAAGCAGGAUGAAGCAAGGUGGUAUACUGACACAUCGAUGCCAUCACGACUGAGAACAAGGAGGCCGGGUACCAACUUCAGUUGACCUUUGGGACGCUCCCCUUGUGAAUUUAAUCCUAAAAGUCCCGUGGAGGUGAAGGAUGUCAAAACAAAACAAAAACACAAAAAGAGAUGAAACAAGGAAACACAUGCAGACUUAGCAAGGAGAGACUUUGAUGCAAAAAGGGCCCGGGAUUGAGCCACAGCCACUAUAGAAGCAAUGCCAAGUAUCACCAUGCUGUAGAGUAGAAAAAAAAAUUUUAUUGGGGAAACAACAAUUAAAAAAAUUAAAAAAUUAAGAAAGGGGGCAGGGGUGAAUAAGGGCUGUUGCCUUGGGAGAGCAUUCUGUCUAUAAGGUCAGCAACCAACAGUUAGCAAAAGGGGGCUCUCUCUCUUUGUGUUUUUAUAGGGAGGAGCAAACCUGGCUCUCCUGAGGUGUAUUCUAGAGAGAAUGAGGCAGGGGAACUGGGGCCAAAGGGCAGCACCAUCCCGCACCGCCCAGAGGGUAUCUCCCGCUAAGAGCGUCCUCGAGAGCAGCCUUCCUCCGUGACGGCUGCCGGCUCUGGGCCAGGAUGCGCCAAAGUCCAGGGACCUGGAGGGGAAGGACGGAAGCCCAACCAAAGUUUGGUGAACAAGCAUUUAGUUCCAUUUGGUCAGCAGGGACAAACCAUUCCGUAUGUCAUUUAUGAGACCGAAGCUGGGAACCCGAAGGGGCUGUGUCUGGCCUUGCUGUAGGUGAACCAGGGGCUCUCGGUGGGUCUGAUGGAACGAACUCACCAGGGGGAGGGUCUUUGCCGUCCACAGUUUUCCAGAACACGAAGGCGGGGGGGCGGGGGAGGCUGAUUCCACAACCUUCCCUGUUUUCCAGGAUUGCAAGAUUUAGGUCAAGUUCAACACUGACUUGGGUACAGGGAGGCAACGAAAUGUCCAUCAGCAGAGGAAUGGAGAGGGAAGAUGUGCCCGCAGGGCUCCUGAAGCACAUCUUCUUAAUCCCUUCCCCCGUCGAUGGACAUUUAGGUUGUUUCCAUGUCUUGGCUAUUUUGAAUAGUGCUGCUGUGAACAUAGGGGUGCAUGGAUCUCUUUGAGUCACAGUUUUGUCAGGAUAUAUGACCAGCAGUGGGAUUGCUGGAUCCUAUGGUAGUUCUACAUUUAGUUUUCAUUCUCUGCAGAGAAGCCCCGCUUCAGGGGGCAUUCCCCCACCCCCAGUCCCUGAUGCAUAACCACCCUUCUUCCUGUCUGUCUGGUGUUGCCUGUUCUGGGCAUUUCCUAUAAAUGGAAUGACAAUAUGUAACUUUAGUGUCUGACUGCAAAUGCAGCAUCAUGUUUCUGAGGUUCCUUCAUCCAUGUUGUAGCUGGUACCAGAAUGUCAUUCCUCUUUGUGGCCAAAUCACGUCCCAUUGCACGGAGGGGGCACUUGGUGUUUAUUCAUUCAUCAGUUGAUGGACAUUGGUUUGUUGCUGAGUUGUGGCCGCUAUGAACAGCCUUUUGGGUCUUGUCAACCUUCAACUGAUUAGACGAGGCCCACCCACAUUGGAGAAGGCCAUCGGCUUGACCCAGUCUGCCUAUUUCAACGUUCGUCUCAUCAAAAACAUCCUCAUGGAAACACUCAGAAUAACGGUUGACCAAAAAAUAUGGCAAAGGAUGGGACGUCACUUUUAGGAUUAGGAUGUAACACUGGACUCCAUCUUGGAGCAGCGUCUCUCUGGGACAAAAGUAACGGUGUUGGAGUCAUGACAAGUUUCCAUAUGGCAGGGAACUGAGGCUCACUCUUGCCAGUGGCCCAUGAGGAGCUAAGUUCUGCCGACAGCAUGUGAGUGAGGUUGGAGGUGGUCCUUCCUCUUCAGACCCUUCAGAGGAGACCCCAGCCUUGCCUUCCACUUGGAUUGCAGCCUCAUGAGAAAUCCUGAAGCAGAAGCCCUGGCCACCCCAUGACCGGAAUCCUGUCCCAGAGAAACUGUAAGAUAAUAAAUAGGUGUUAUGUUAAGCUGCUAAAGGUCA